AGACAAAACAAUUUGAGAUAUUUUAUGACAUUUUGUUACCUUUAGAACUUCGUAAAUCUCCUUCUAAAGUGCAGGAAAUGGCAUUUCAGAGACUUUAGUUUUAAAAUUUUCCCGGGGGACAUGCCCCUGGACCCCCCUACACUGUUACCUGUCGUCACCUGUCUUUGGUGGACACAAAGUGUGUCCCCCACUUUUACAACCAUUCCGACGCCCCUGGCAAUAAUAAUCUUCUUGAACUGCAAAAUAUUCUUUACAACAUUUGAGUUCUGUUAACCAGCAUUUAAACUUUUGUUUAGCCUUAUUUCAAUACAUCAAAAUCACCCCACCCUCCCAACAUGUAAAUAGCCCGUAAGAUGCCUG